CGUUGAAGCCGAGCCCAAACUGUAAUAUAGUGUAUAUAGGAUUGUUCAAACAUAUCUCUGACGUAGACAAUGAGAGGACCAUAAGAGAAACAGACCCCGAGUUAAACGAAUGUUGGGUGACAAUAACUUUAGUUAUGGAUGGUCGCUGACAGAUGGAAGUGCUUUUGAGAUUCGCAUAUACGAGUACCUUGUGAAUCAAAUUGCAACUAAAGUGUAAUAUAAAGUAUUAUUUAAACAUUCCGUUUAACUUUAAUUCGGCAGACG